CGGGGUGAGUAACACGUGGGUAACCUGCCCGGAAGUGGGGAAUACCUCGGAGAAAUUCGAGCUAAUACCGCAUGACAUCUUCGGGACGAAAGUCCUGACGAUCAAAGCGGGGUCGCAAGAUCUCGCGCUACCGGAUGGGCCCGCGCCCGAUUAGCUAGUUGGUGAGGUAACGGCUCACCAAGGCUUCGAUCGGUAACCGGCCUGAGAGGGCGAUCGGUCACACCGGAACUGAGACACGGUCCGG
rnacentral:rRNA from 1 species